rnacentral:rRNA from 1 species
CUCAGGAUGAACGCUGGCGGCGUGCUUAACACAUGCAAGUCGAACGAAGCAACUUGUCACGAUCCCUUCGGGGUGACGAUUGUUGACUGAGUGGCGGACGGGUGAGUAACGCGUGGGUAACCUACCUUGUACAGGGGGAUAACAGUUGGAAACGACUGCUAAUACCGCAUAAGCGCACGAUGUCGCAUGACAUAGUGUGAAAAGUUUUUUCGGUAUAAGAUGGACCCGCGUCUGAUUAGCUAGUUGGUGAGGUAACGGCCCACCAAGGCGACGAUCAGUAGCCGACCUGAGAGGGUGACCGGCCACAUUGGGACUGAGACACGGCCCAAACUCCUACGGGAGGCAGCAGUGGGGAAUAUUGCACAAUGGGCGAAAGCCUGAUGCAGCGAACCGCCGCAUGAGCGAAGAAGUAUUUCGGUAUGUAAAGCUCUAUCAGCAGGGAAGAUAAUGACGGUACCUGACUAAGAAGCACCGGCUAAAUACGUGCCAGCCGCAGC